rnacentral:rRNA from 1 species
UGUAGAGUUUGAUCCUGGCUCAGAUUGAACGCUGGCGGAAUGCUUUACACAUGCAAGUCGAACGGCAGCACGGGGGCAACCCUGGUGGCGAGUGGCGAACGGGUGAGUAAUGCAUCGGAACGUGCCCAGUAGUGGGGGAUAGCCCGGCGAAAGCCGGAUUAAUACCGCAUACGACCUACGGGUGAAAGCGGGGGACCGCAAGGCCUCGCGCUAUUGGAGCGGCCGAUGUCAGAUUAGGUAGUUGGUGGGGUAAAAGCCUACCAAGCCGACGAUCUGUAGCUGGUCUGAGAGGACGACCAGCCACACUGGGACUGAGACACGGCCCAGACUCCUACGGGAGGCAGCAGUGGGGAAU